rnacentral:rRNA from 1 species
UACGUAGGGGGCAAGCGUUGUCCGGAUUUAUUGGGCGUAAAGAGCGUGUAGGCGGCCAGACAGGUCCGUUGUGAAAACUCGAGGCUCAACCUCGAGACGCCGAUGGAAGCCGUCUGGCUAGAGUCCGGAAGAGGAGAGUGGAAUUCCUGGUGUAGCGGUGAAAUGCGCAGAUAUCAGGAAGAACACCCGUGGCUAAGGCGGCUCUCUAGUACGGUACUGACGCUGAGACGCGAAAGCGUGGGGAGCGAACAGG